rnacentral:rRNA from 1 species
AUUGAACGCUGGCGGCAGGCCUAACACAUGCAAGUCGAGCGGUAGCACAGGGAGCUUGCUCCUGGGUGACGAGCGGCGGACGGGUGAGUAAUGUCUGGGAAACUGCCUGAUGGAGGGGGAUAACUACUGGAAACGGUAGCUAAUACCGCAUAACGUCGCAAGACCAAAGAGGGGGACCUUCGGGCCUCUUGCCAUCAGAUGUGCCCAGAUGGGAUUAGCUAGUAGGUGGGGUAACGGCUCACCUAGGCGACGAUCCCUAGCUGGUCUGAGAGGAGGACCAGCCAAACUGGAACUGAGACACGGUCCAGACUCCUACGGGAGGCAGCAGUGGGGAAUAUAGCACAAUGGGCGCAAGCCUGAUGCAGCCAUGCCGCGUGUAUGAAGAAGGCCUUCGGGUUGUAAAGUACUUUCAGCGGGGAGGAAGGUGUUGAGGUUAAUAACCUCAGCAAUUGACGUUACCCGCAGAAGAAGCACCGGCUAACUCCGUGCCAGCAGCCGCCGUAAGAC